AUUCUAGUGCAAGGGUCUUACACGGAUCAGUGAGGAAAUUUCCGAGAUCGUGUUUUUGCUGGUUGAAAACUACCACCUUGACCACUUCAAGUGGGCCUAACCGCCUGCUUGGGAAUUUUUGAAGCUACCUCUCACGAGUUGAAUUUUCUUUUCACUACUUGCUACCCAUGCUGGUG
rnacentral:snRNA from 2 species